rnacentral:misc_RNA from 1 species
UCAAGUAUUAUUAUGAUCACCAAACACUUGAUAGAAGUCAGUAUUUUGUGGGAAAAUGAUCUUCCUUAUAACUAAUCCAACCAGAAUCAAUGAAUUUUCUUGUAUAGAAGGAUCCCCCAAAAAACAUGACUAUAUUGUUGUAUUUACCAUCUAAGAGCUUAACAUAAUAAUUGUUAAAUUAUUUCCAUUUUUCAUAACUCUUCGAUGACUUAUUCGCCACCUUGCUUGAAACAAAACUCCACGAAAAUGAAGAACCAGAAUAAUGUUUAAUAUUCUUUCAGGAUGAUUGUUCAGAUAGUAGUAUUCAUUCCUCUGUUUGACAUAACUGGAGUGUUUGUGAAUCACAUAAGGAGUUCGAAAGUUGGUCUGUUGUUUAAUCAAUCAACUUCAAACCACUGGUAAGUUGUUCAUACAACAGCCACAGGAGAACACCAAUUAUAGUGUCUCUAACUAGGUUUCCAAAGAUGGUAGUUGUCCAGCCAGAGAGUCCCCCUGAAGGACUCUUCCCAGCUAGAUCUCGAAACCGCAAGUUUCCUUGAUCAGACACCAAGGAAUAUAUUACUCCAUUCAUGUGACCCUUCCCAAUGAUUCCAACAACUUGCUUACAGUUGUUCACAGCUUUGCUCCUCUUCAGAGACCAAGCAAGAAACUAAAGGAACAAUCACAUGGAAAAACAGGAAAGAUAAUCACUAGCAAAAGGGAAAAGAAAAAG